AUUGAACGCUGGCGGCAGGCCUAACACAUGCAAGUCGAGCGAGCGGCGGACGGGUGAGUAAUGUAUGGGGACUGCCCGAUGGAGGGGGAUAACUACUGGAAACGGUGGCUAAUACCGCAUACUAUCGGAUAACCCAUAUGGGAUUAGCUAGUAGGUGGGGUAAGGGCUCACCUAGGCGACGAUCUCUAGCUGGUCUGAGAGGAUGAUCAGCCACACUGGAACUGAGACACGGCCCAGACUCCUACGGAGGCAGCAGUGGGGAAUAUUGCACAAUGGGCGCAAGCCUGAUGCAGCCAUGCCGCGUGUAUGAAGAAGGCCUUAGGGUUGUAAAGUACUUUCAGCGGGGAGGCGUUACCCGCAGAAGAAGCACCGGCUAACUCCGUGCCAGCAGCCGCGGUAAUUC
rnacentral:rRNA from 1 species